rnacentral:rRNA from 1 species
CAAUAGCGUAUAUUAAAGUUGUUGCAGUUAAAAAGCUCGUAGUUGGAUUUCUGGUGGGAGCGAUCGGUCUGGCGCUUAGCGCGAGUACUUGCAUCGUCUCCGGCCAUCCUUGGGGAGAGUCUGUCUGGCAUUAGGUUGUCGGGCAGAGGAUCCUCAUCGUUUACUGUGAAAAAAUUAGAGUGUUCAAAGCAGGCUUAUGCCGUUGAAUAUAUUAGCAUGGAAUAAUAAGAUAGGACUUUGGUACUAUUUUGUUGGUUUGCGCACCAAAGUAAUGAUUAAUAGGGACAGUUGGGGGUAUUCGUAUUCCGUUGUCAGAGGUAAAAUUCUUGGAUUUACGGAAGACGAACUACUGCGAAAGCAUUUACCAAGGAUGUUUUCAUUAA